UUUGUUUCUUCUUCGUAACAUACAUUGAAAAAAACACCAGGCAUAAAAGAAAGAGGAGGAAAACACUCUAUUCUGAUCUUCCAUACUCACAAUACACCCUUCAUAAGAACACAAACAAUAGACACGGUAGAACACAUACACACAGCAACAACGAUACAUACACUGAAAUAGAGAGUGAAUUAAACGGAGAGAGGAGAGAGAUCGGCGAUUGAGAGAAACAACGAUAAGGUUUGUUCCAGCGACCAGAUCUCACUGGAGCUCCGGUAACAACAGAAAUCGGUGACCAACACUGCAAAAACAACUAAAACCGACAACCAAGUCCCAAACGCCGGUGAUUCUGUCAAAAAAACCCCCCAAACCAGAUGACCGAACCCCUUCUCGCAUCGAAAAACGCCAUGGACUCCACCGGCGGCAGCACUUUUUUUCGAAAUGGCUAAACAAAUCUAUUGCACACGAAAUUAGUGCGUUUUUUUUCUUUUCAUAACAUUUUAGGUCUGGAUUUGUGACGAAACCGAAACGGGUCAUAGCUAGUUGGAUUGGCAAGUUUGUGAUUGAGAUUUGACGUUGAGAUUCCAAACGGGUCGAGGUUCCGUUGCUUUGCUUUGGGAGUUUCAAUCUAUCAUUAGUUGUUCGAAAUAAAAGCUUUAAAUCGAGGUCCAAUUCUGUUCCUUCCCUCUUUUAUUUCAUUGUUUAUAUCUUCAAUGCAUUUAAUAGUUUAAGGUGUGUUGGUUGAUUUGUGAUGAUGUGAAUCGUUGUUUGUUUUGAUUCAGUGUUUGAUUUUCUUGAUUAUGGAUCAAUUAUGGGUUAUGUGAUGAAAUGAUACCUUAUUAAGGAUUAAAAUUGGUUAUUUAGGGUGGGAAUUGAAAAUUGACAAAGGUGAAUAUUGGUUAUUCUGAUGCGUUGAUGAUUGUUUAAGUCGGAGUAAGUAUUGACGUUUGUUAAACGCAACAAUAUCAUGAUGGGUUGAAAUUGGUAGACAAACAAUAGAUCGGGUAGGCAAAUUUAGGAAUUGUGAAUUGUUGAAUAAUUUGAAAUGCUUGUGGAAUGUUCUGUUGAAUGAUUCUGUUUUUUUUUUUUUUGCACUUAGAAAAUGUAUUCAUUUAGUCGGGGAAUGUCCUGAGUUCAUUUUGAAAAAGAAUUUUCAAAGGUGACUUGGCACACCCGAUUUAUGCCAAGUGGCGACUCUGAGUUUUGAAUAUAAAAAAUCUUUUUUGAAAUAAAUUUUCAUCUUUUUAUCACUUAAUAAUAAAAUUCUUUCAAACCUUAAAAUUGAUAAUCGUUUUGGUAAAAAAAAAAAGGGGUGUGACAGUAAGUACGGAUUCCAAAAUUUAAAAUAUAUUUCCUUCAAAUAUGACCAAGUGAGUAAAUUGCUUUUAGUUCUUCAAUAUUUAAUACAUUUUUAACAUGAUUUUUGGGAAAUUAAAGUUUAGAAAAGAAAAUCAAUUGAUAAUAAGACAUUUAUAACAAUGAAUAAACACAGCAAACUUUUAAUAUUAUAAUUGCUCAAAAUAAGAAUUUAUAUUAUAAAGUUAUUUGUAAAUUUAUUCCUCUAACACAACAAAGUUUAAUGCUUAACUUCUUUUUUAUUUUAUGUUUGCUCUUCUUUGAGUCUAGCAUUUUUCUAUUCAAAUUACUUUUGCUUAUGUUGUUAGUAUUAUUUUGUGUAAUUUAUUAAUUUUUGAAUCUGCAAUAGUUAAUUAUCUCAUUAAUAUUUUUAAUUGACUAAGAGAAUUAAAAAUAAGUUUGAAAGGAAAAUAAAUUCUAUUUAGAACAUCUCCUCCAAAUGCACAACUAUCAAAUCUCUAGAAAAAUUUUCAAAGUUAUAAAAUUUCAACAUAAAUCUCCAAGAAAUAAUUUUAGAUAAAUUUGUAGUAAAAACUCUCCCAAUAUUUCCUCAAAUAAUUACAUUCAUAGGUAAAUCCCCAAAGAAAAAUCCUCAGGUAAAUUUGCACCAACUAAGUUACCAAACAAUUUUCCAGGUAAUAAAAUCCCCAGAUAAAUUUUCAUCAAAAUAUCUCUAGGUAAAUCUGUAUGAUAAAUUACCUGGGGAGUUUUCUAUGAAAUAAAAAAGGAUUAAAAUUUUUUUUGCAGUUCAUAUACCUAUGGAUUUAUCUAGAGAUAAUUUCCUUGCCGAUAUGUUUCCCCAAGUAAUGUUGCAGAUAUAAAUUUUGCACAAAAUAAUGCCAACUUUACCUGUGAAAUUUAUUGAAAAUAUGCAUUCCACGGAUAAUAUAGUCUAAUAUUGAGGAAUUUAAAAAAUUCAUAAGAAAAUCCCCAUGAAUUACCUGCGAUAAUUUUUCCUAGGUAAAAUUUUCAUGUAUUUACAGUUUUCUUGUAGUUACUUGAGCCGAAAGUCUUUCAAAAAUAACCUCUUUACCUCCCCUCUACGUACACUUUACCAUCUGCAACUUCACUUGUGGGAUUCAACUAGGUAUGUUGUUGUUAUUGUUGAAGAAGGAUCUGCAUAUGGUGUUCAUUGACCUUGAAAGGGUGUACGACGAAAUCCCGAGGGAAGUUCUCUGGAGAUGACUUAAGGAAAGAGGUGUACCGGUGGCUUAUUUAGAGCGAUGAAGGACAUGUGUGAUGGAGCUAAAAUACCAGUUCAAACGACAGAAGGAG
rnacentral:lncRNA from 1 species